CAAUUUCAGCACCUCCACAAAAAGAGGUGAAUAUUGCACCUGGCAAGUUGUUUUUCUCAAGAACUUCAGCCACUAGCUUUGUCACGGCAAUGGUGACUAGUGGAGUUGUUGGAGCACCCUUCCUAUAAUGUAGGUUAUGGUAAGUAGUCAUUUUCUAGCAUAAAACAUGUAAUUCAAGGAAACAAGAGUCUUCCUUCUUAUAGAAAAGGAUAAAGAGAACAAAAUAAGUAUUCUCUAUUUUACCCAUUAGCAAUGGGUAACUAAAAUUGUUUUGUUAGAAAAGGGAAAAAAAAAAAAAAUUAGUUGGAUGACUAAGUAUCCAUUUGGAACAAAAAAUAGUCGUAACUUCUAUAUAGAAUAUAAGAACUCUUAGAGAUUUA
rnacentral:lncRNA from 1 species